CGGCUUCCUACGGGAGGCAGCAGUGAGGAAUCUUGCACAAUGGGCGAAAGCCUGAUGCAGCGACGCCGCGUGGAGGAUGACGGUCUUCGGAUUGUAAACUCCUGUUAAACGGGAAGAAAGACUUGUUUCUAAUACAGACAAGUUAUGACGGUACCGUUAGAGAAAGCACCGGCUAACUUCGUGCCAGCAGCCGCGGUAAUACGGGGGUGGCGAGCGUUACUCGGAUUCAUUGGGUGUAAAGGACAGGUAGGCGGCUAUGUAAGUUGGAGGUGAAAUCCUGCGGCUCAACCGCAGAACUGCCUUCAAAACUGCAUGGCUUGAGGCUAGAAGAGGGGAGCGGAAUUCCCGGUGUAAGGGUGAAAUCUGUAGAUAUCGGGAGGAACACCAGUGGCGAAGGCGGCUCUCUGGUUUAGCCCUGACGCUGAUCUGUGAAAGCUAGGGGAGCAAACAGGAUUAGAUACCCGAGUAGUCCAAGC
rnacentral:rRNA from 1 species